rnacentral:rRNA from 1 species
AGUGAACGCUGGCGGCGUGCCUAAUACAUGCAAGUCGAACGGAGUGACGCACGGGUGAGUAAUUUAUAGCUAAUCUACCGUACACUAGAGGACAACAAUUGGAAACGGCUGCUAAUACUCUAUAGUGUAGGAUGAGGCUAUAUUGUAUCAGCUAGUUGGUGAGGUGAUGACUCUCCAAGGCGAUGACGCAUAACUGGUCUGAGAGGACGAUCAGUAACACUGGAACGGAGACACCGUUCAGACUCCUACCGGAGGCAGCAGUAGGGUAUAUUGCUCAAUGGGGGAAAACCUGAAGCAUCAACGCCUUGUGGAGGAUGACACUUUUCGGAGCGUAAACUCCUUUUGUUAGGGAAGCGGUACCUAACGAAUAAGCACCGGCUAACUCCGUGCCAGCAGCCGCGGUAAUAC